AUGUAGGCGCUGACAUUCAAGCUUAUAAUACCAUGGCCAGCUCCUGUAUGAAUCAGCCCAGGUUGAUUCAGGAGGUGGGACGCAGGAGAGAUCAUAUUCUAAGAUUGGAUGACCUAAGCUACCAUCUUCCUCCUCGUAGGCACCUUUCUGACUCAGAUCCUGCAUAUGUAUCAGAACUUCUUUCAUUUGUUCUCCACUUGUAGCUACAUUUAAGAAAAGAGAUAUGAGAAGAAAUUGAGCAUCAUGUAAUGAUAGGAAAACAUUCCCAGCAAGACGAUUCCCAGCAGUGCUUG
rnacentral:lncRNA from 1 species